CAGCAUCUCCACCUGCAGCACUAACCCCCGCCCCACCACAGGCAAGCUCAUUCACCUUAUCACCUUCCUGAGUUACCUCACCCAGAGAGCCGGUAUCCUGUGGUUUGGGGGUCUCCAGUUGGGGAUCCUGUUUCAUCACCGGAUCCACAAUCACUGGAAAUGCUGUACUGUCCAAAUCCUCCAGCACUGAGGCUUCCACUGCAAUCGAUGGCUCAGCAUCCCUGGCCGUCACUCACCAACAGGCCGCUCCUCUCCUCUCCCUCCGGAUCUCUGCGUCACUGCCAGCCGCCUCAGCUCAGCUCCUCACCACCGGCGCUGGAGGCUUGCGUCCCGGGUCCCGCCGGCGUGGAUUUUCCGCUCACUGCUGCCGAGGGAGAGCUCACAUCGCUACUGCUGCUGGGUGCCAAACACCGGAUGUGUUGAUGCUUCAAGUGGUGACUGUUAUUUUUCCUCUGGUUCCAUCCGCCUAGGAGCCAAGAAAACGUAACUACUUUUCCAGGGAACGGGAUGGACCGUGCUGGUGACAGCUCUACACCAGUAGCCAUAAUGUAAUUAUCAAGUUGUGUAUUCCAACAGCAGAACUGGUUGCCAAAACAAAUUAUGGCAGGAUAGGGCUACUCCAGGUUUUUCUAAUUUAUUGUGUGAUCUCUGGAAGAAUCCCGCCGGUAAGAAUUCCUCAGGAGAUUAAUGCAGCGGAGGUCAGAGUGGGGCCAUUUACCAAGCAGCGUAUAAAUACACGGUCGCUGGGUGCAGGCGCUGUCCUGCCGCCGAGGGGCAUUAAGGCCGGGAUGGCCCUGACUGUGUACAGAGACUGAGCAUGUUUACCAAGCAAUAAAUGAACAAUGCAAAAGCAAGAGCCACGAUUAUACGCUUAUGUACUGAAAGCUCAAACAAGCCCACAGUCCUGCAUGUAUGAAAUAUCGCUUCCAAUAGUCCUUAAAUUUCAUGGACAAAGAUAUUCUAAUCAAUGAUUACUAAACGGUCUAUGAUGUAGAUUGUAACACUGUUGUAGAAGCAAGUACAUCCCUGAGCUUAAGAAUAUUCAUGAAUAUAUAGGUACUGUUUAUACGUAGCUAAACCUGUCAGACGUAAAUUCUACUCGUAUAUAUCCUGCUAUCUAAGAAAUAUGGACAUUUCACACGUCAGGGUGAUACUUGUGGCAAGAUGAGUCUGAUCGACUCGUUUGCAGUCUCCUAGGUAACACAAACGGAUUUGGUUUGCUUCACGUUUGAUGAUAAAUAACGGUGAUGCUUUGGGAAGUAGCAAAAACUAAAUUUCCCAAGUCAGAAGGAGUGAUCUUCUGGGAGUCAUUCUAAAGUUCUCUGCGGAUUUCAUGUUAUCACAUAAUGGGGGUAAUUCCGAGUUGAUCGCAGC